UACGAAGGGGGCUAGCGUUGCUCGGAAUCACUGGGCGUAAAGCGCACGUAGGCGGCUUUCUAAGUCAGGGGUGAAAUCCUGGAGCUCAACUCCAGAACUGCCUUUGAUACUGAAGAUCUUGAGUCCGGGAGAGGCGAGUGGAACUGCGAGUGUAGAGGUGAAAUUCGUAGAUAUUCGCAAGAACACCAGUGGCGAAGGCGGCUCACUGGCCCGGUACUGACGCUGAGGCACGAAAGCGUGGGGAGCAAACGGGG
rnacentral:rRNA from 1 species